UCCUCUAGACAAGGGGCCAACAAUUUCAAGCAGAGGAAUAACACGGCCAGCUCUGUAUUUUAGAGAAGUCAUUCCAUAGAGGACAGACUGGAGAACUUGCACACACAGACUGUAAGGUCGGUUAGAAGCUUAUCAUAACAGCCCAAGAUGAAGGGACCUUCAACUAAAGCAAGGAUCUUUUGCAUAACAAAGCAGGAAGAGAUUUAAGAGAGAGAGUAGGAGACAAAAUUAUCAGCCCUGGGUAAAUGGCCAGAUGCAGAGAUGAGGGAGAAGAAGUCACCAACUGCGAUAAGGAAUUGCAGAAGAUGGAAGUUUGCAGAAGAACGAUAAAUGUGUUCCGUUUCUGUACAUUAAAUUGGCAGUGUCCAGAAGAUAAUCUGUGUAUCUCUUCUGGAGCUCAGAAAAAGGAUCAGGACAGAUGACCCAGAGUGAAUUCACUAGGAGGAAUCCCAACAUCUUUUGGAAACCCAAAGGCAUAGCCAGAGAAUCAGUAGAGAAGCAAGAGAAAAUUAUCUCGCCAACUAUCCCAAAUGGCCCCUUAGUCUAUGCCCCUUUCCUUGAACAUGAAUGAGCUUGUGACUGCUUCAACCAGUUGACUACAGCAGAAGAGAUGGUGUGUGACUUCCAGGGCUGGAUCAUAAAAGGUGCUGUAGCUUCUAGCUUCUUCGCUGGAACAUGCAUCCUUGCGGACCUGAGCCAUGGAAUAAGAUGUCCAACUACCCCAAAGCUGCCAUGUUGGAAGGAAGCCCAGCCACACAGACCACAUGUUGGACCUCCAUUCUCUGAGCCAUCCCUGUCCAGGCACCAGGCAUAUGAGUGAAUAAGCCUUCAGCUCCAGACUACAGGCCCUCCCUCUCCAGGAGCACAGGAGACGAUAUGAAGAACAGAAGGCACAAAGCCUGAACACCUGGAAUGUUUGGCUUUGGGCAAACUCAGCCUCGCCUUUUCUCAGUCUUCACCCAAAGGGAACCAAGCCUGUGGCGGCUACACAAGAGGAAAGUGUGUCCCCAAACCCAGCCGGCAGAGCCUCCAGCCCCCUGCCACCUACGGUGAGGUCUUUCUGCUCUUUUACGGCGUCUCACGGCCACAGUUAACAAAACAGGAUCUCAGACACUUACCAAAAGCAGAGACGUGGCUUAAAAUAGAACACAAUAAUUGUCACAGAAAGCAACCAAGAACACACGUUUCAGGUGGAAGCUGCUUCUGUUUCCAAACUCCCCACUCAGGAAGGACAAUAGGAGCCUUGCAGGGGCGGACCCCACACUGGGAGGCCUGGGACCUGGUGCCCACAUGGGCUUGCUAAUCCUGAUAGAGGAGCCGGGCAAUGCCUCGUUUUCAAAGGACAGCUGGAGGGCAGUUUCUCACCUGCCUGGUUUCAGAGAAACAAGGGCCCCAACCCACCUGGGGCCUCAAACCGGCCUUCACUGAUUUCUGUGUGUCUGUUUGUGUGUGGUAAAAUAUGCAUAACAUAAAACCACCAUUCCUUC